rnacentral:misc_RNA from 1 species
CGUCACUUACUCUUUCUUUUACAGUGAGAGACCGGAUGGGACACAGAUAUGUACAAUUCACAUGGGAGAGCGUCAGUACAGGUCAAUGGAACCGUUGCGCUGCUGGCCUUGUCUAUGCCUUACCUUCAUCGGCCUGUGCACUCAAUCAUCUCCAUUGCCUCAGUCCAAUUGGUCAGAAUGGAAAACGGAGGCACCACUACCUGUAGCUUUAUCAUUGCCCACAAAAGCUAAAAAAUAAACAAAUCCAGGGACCCUCAAGACUCAAGUCGUCUAAUUAUUCUUUCUUUUACAGAAGGAAAGAACAGAGCAACACCGAAUAUCUCAGCAACAAAUCUAGCCCUGCACAAGCCUACAUCUUCUUCUUCUUCUUAGACCCUUUUAGGGGCUUCACCGGAAAACCUCCUUUCAUCACCGGAAAGCCAUGACAGAUUGCUGCAAGAGGUGCAGCAGCUUCAUAUUGGCUCUAGGCUCGACAGCUCUUUUCAUGUGGUUAAGCCUGCGUCCCUCGAAACCCAAAUGCUUACUCCAACAAUUUUACAUUCCCGCCCUUAACAAGACCCUAAAUCCUCUAGGAAACACCACUCUCUUCUUUCAGCUCAGACUAGAGAACACCAACAAGGACAAGGGUGUCUAUUACGAUCCCGUAAAUGUAACAUUUUUUGACAGCCCAAACAAGACUCACUUCAUAGGGAAUUUCACCAUCCCCAAUUUUUAUCAAGGGCAUAAGAAGAAG